rnacentral:rRNA from 1 species
ACUCCUACGGGAGGCAGCAGUGGGGAAUUUUGGACAAUGGGGGCAACCCUGAUCCAGCAAUGCCGCGUGUGUGAAGAAGGCCUUCGGGUUGUAAAGCACUUUUGUCAGGAACGAAACGGUGGGGGCUAAUACCUUCUGCUAAUGACGGUACCUGAAGAAUAAGCACCGGCUAACUACGUGCCAGCAGCCGCGGUAAU